AAUAAUGAACAACCAGUUUACUACCGUUUAUAUUGUCUUUAGGUUACUGGUAUAUAAUAAUGAUCAACCAGUUUACUACCGGUUAUAUUGUCUGUAGGUUACUGGUAUAUAAUAAUGAGUUUACUGUAGAGAAUACAACGUUAGUUCAUGUUUUACUUCUUUACUGACCCGUUCGUUUGUCUUGAUGCUACUCCAAUUAAAAGAAGGACUGUCAGAAGUCCUUUGAAUGUGCUGAUAUGUAAGUUAAAUAUGUGUGCGUAGUGACUGGGGAUUUACAGUUUAAUAGAGCUCGUAAGUACGCCACUUCCGGUAGACCCUGUCGCGGGGUUCAUAUUUAUGAUCCAUGACGUGACGUCCAUAAUGCUUUAGUGUGACGCAGUCACAAUGAUCUUCUCAGUUCAGAAGGAGUUGUGUUUGUGUCCAGGUCUCCAGUCUACUAUGGAUGAGGAGAGAGAGGAUGGGGAUGGGGGUCCUACCUCUAAGACCACUCUGUCUGGGGAAAAUGGCCGCCGGAGCAAAGCUAAGAGCCCAGAGCAGCAGCAGAGAGCAGACUCCCCUGGACCCAGCUGUGUCUCCAUGAAAAGUGACUGGUCCAUGGAUAACCCUCCUAACCUUAAAGAUGGACGCCUCUCCAGAGAGGAGAGAGGGAGGCAGGAGAGAGCAGACUCCCCUGGACCCAGCUGUGUCUCCAUGAAGAGUGACUGGUCUAUGGAUAUACCUCCUACCCUUAAAGAUGAAAGCCCCUCCAGAGAGGAGAGGGACUGGUGGAUAGUGGUGCCUAAGAAGCGGAAGGAGGAGACCCACUCCACAACUUGGCCAUUAAUGGAGAUGGGAAGGUGCUGGCCUGCCUUUUCCUAUAGUCAAUGAUGAGUUCUUUGGUUUUGGUUGUAUUAAGUAUAAGGUUAUUGUCUUCACACCACUGCACCAGCUGUUCAACCUCACUCCGGUAGGUAGAUUCCUCCCCAUCAGAUAUGAGGCCUAUGACAGUGGUGUCAUCUGCAAACUUUAACAUUUUAACAGAUGCAGAGUUUGAUGUACAAUUAUUAGUGUACAGUGAAAAUAAUAGAGGUGACAAGACACACCCUUGUGGGGCGCCGGUGUUCACAAUCCUUGGUGAUGACACAUUAUUCUGGAUUUUAACACACUGUUUCCUACUGGACAGGAAGUUUAAGAUCCACUGACAAAGUACAGCAUCAACUCCUGCAGCCAGGAGAAAAUUGUACAGUCUGACAGGAAUGAUGGUAUUGAAAGCCCAGCUAAAAUCAAUGAACAGUACACGGGCAUUGGUGGACUUAGUGUUCAGAUGUUGCAGAAUGAAAUGUGGGCAAAGUGAAACUGCAUCGUCCACUCCCCUAUUAGCCCUGUAGGCAAAUUGGUGAGGGUCUAGCGUGAAGUACCUACAGACUAGGCGCUCAAGUACCUUCAUAACAACAGAAGUAAGUGCCACAGGCCUAUAGUCAUUAAGACAGGUUAUGUUUCUUUUCUUGGGCACUGGAAUGAUCAUAGCGGAUUUAAAACAUGCAGGUACCGUUGCUGUGUUAAGAGACCAGUUGAAAAUGUAAGUGAGUAUGGAGGCAAGCUGGUCUGCACAGCUCUUUAGAGUAGCUGGUGUCACACCAUCAGGCCCUGCUGCUUUGUUGAUUUUCUGAUGCCGUAGCAGUCUACGGACAUCAUGCUCUGGGAUGGAAAAGGUAGAGUGCCCAUCCAACAGAGAAAGUGGGAGAGAACUAGUCUGGGCACCAUUGUUCUCAAAACGGCAGAAAAAGUCAUUAAGUUGCUCUGGCAGGGAGGAGUCACAGUCAAGACAACUUGUAGCAGACUUUACAGGUUUAAUGUUUAAAGAUCCCAUGCCAUUCUAUUUUAUGAUGCUUUAAUAUAGGUAUUAGUGGGCCACAAACACAGUAUUCAAAGACGUCCCAGAAAUUCAGCCGUG